CCUACGGGAGGCAGCAGUGAGGAAUUUUCCGCAAUGGGCUAACGCCUGACGGAGCAAUGCCGCGUGGAGGAGGAAGGCCUGUGGGUCGUAAACUCCUUUUCUCAGAGAAGAAGAUCUGACGGUAUCUGAGGAAUAAGCAUCGGCUAACUCUGUGCCAGCAGCCGCGGUAAUACAGGGGAUGCAAGCGUUAUCCGGAAUUAUUGGGCGUAAAGCGUCCUGAGGUGGCUUACCCAGUCGACUGUGAAAGCUCAAGGCUCAACCUUGAAACGGCAGUCGAAACUUGUAAGCUUGAGUACGGUAGAGGCAGAGGGAAUUCCCGGAGGAGAGGUGAAAUUCGUAGAUAUCGGGAGGAAGGCCAAAGGCGAAAGCACUCUGCUGGGCCGAUUACUGACACUGACAGACGAAAGCUAGGGGAGCGAAAGGGAUUAGAUACCCCUGUAGUCCUAGCCGUAAACGAUGGAUACUAAGUGUUGCGCGACUCAACUCGUGCAGUGCUGCAGCUACGACGGUAAGUAGUCCGCCGUCGGGAGGUAGUGCGUCGCAAGAGUAGAAACGUACAAAUAGAAGUUAGUACGGCGUGAGACGUACGCCGAACGGACGACCGACCGAGGGGAGGUUAGGG
rnacentral:rRNA from 1 species